CCUACGGGAGGCAGCAGUGGGGGAUAUUGCACAAUGGGGGGAACCCUGAUGCAGCGACGCCGCGUGGGUGAAGGAGUGCUUCGGCAUGUAAAGCCCUAUCGGCAGGGAAGAAGCAAGACGGUACCCAAAGAGGAAGCUCCGGCUAACUACGUGCCAGCAGCCGCGGUAAUACGUAGGGAGCGAGCGUUGUCCGGAAUUACUGGGUGUAAAGGGAGCGUAGGCGGGGAUGCAAGUUGGAUGUUUAAACUAUCGGCUCAACCGGUAAUUGCAACCAAAACUGCAACUCUUGAGUGAAGUAGAGGCAGGCGGAAUUCCUAGUGUAGCGGUGAAAUGCGUAGAUAUUAGGAGGAACACCAGUGGCGAAGGCGGCCUGCUGGGCUUUAACUGACGCUGAGGCUCGAAAGCGUGGGGAGCAAACAGGAUUAGAUACCCCUGUAGUC
rnacentral:rRNA from 1 species